GGUGGUGGUUUACUACUUGAAUG
rnacentral:siRNA from 1 species